rnacentral:lncRNA from 10 species
GGACGGUGUCUGGGUGCCGAGAAUACCGGCCCAGGUUUCGAGCGCGCCUACGCACUGUGUCCUUUGAUUAGAUUAAUCCAUCUAAGGAAAAAGUGUGCCCAGCUCAUUGGCAUGAGUUCAAGGUAUAGUAACUGGUUCUGGGCCCCCCCGAGAAUAAUUCUGGCACCAGAGGGCGUCCUUCAUGUGGCACAGCUUGUGUGGAGUAGAGCCUUCCUAGAGUUUAGAUGAAAUAUUUCCUUCAAAACAGUCAACCUUUCUUGCUUUCAGUUUAUUUAUUUCAACACUCAGUUGUAGGGGUAAGUAGAGUGGUGAAAAGAGACCAGGAAUUUUAGACUCAAAGGCCUCCGGGGAUAGGCAGGUAAGUAGGAUCAAGGAGUGCAAACAGCCAAGUGUGAUGUAAUGGGGUGGACUGGGGGCUGGAGUAAGAACUACGGGCUGCAGUGGCCGCUCACCUCCAGCCCAUUGUGCUAGAUCUUUUUCAAGAGUGCCAGGAAAUCCAGGUGUUUACAUAAAAUCUCUUGAUUUUUAAAUAUUGCCAAUAAAUUGAUUUUUUUUUUGAGACAGAGUCUCACUUUGUCGCCGAGGCUGGAGUGCAGUGGCACUGUGUCGGCUCA